GCAUGUGGGAUCCUCCCGGACCGGGGCACGAACCCGUGUCCCCUGCGUCGGCAGGCGGACUCCCAAACACUGCGCCACCAGGGAAGCCCCUGCACAUCUUAUCUUUCAAGAAAUUCAUCCGUUUCGUGUAGACUGUCAAAUUUGGGUAGGGGUUGGGCUUGGCUUUGUUCUUCCAGAAGUGCACAUUACUAUCCCCCCUUGAAUUUUUAUGCGGUAGAAAGAAGAUGCUGAAGCAGUAUUCCCCAACAAGGGAAAUAAACAAGUUUUCCUGACAAUGGAACACGACGUUUAAACACUACGAGGACGAGCUGGUCGUAGCACUGCGCCAUAUCCUGCUCCACCAGUGUCGCCUUCCCUUUCCUGUCUCCUUGACGCCUCGGGUGAGCAGUGGCAUUCAGAGACGAAGCCUGCUUGCUCCUACUCCAGGUGUGCUGUGGCCAGCCUACAGGGCCUCAUAUUAUAAUCAGAUAAAAACAAUUUUAAAAAUCAGACAAAAGAUAAAUUAUCCAAGUUCUAUUAUAUUCAAAAGCACCAUGAAACCUGACUUAAAACUAUUGUUGAAUACUCAUUAACGAGUACCUUGAAAGCAAGUUUAAUAAUUCCAGAAUUAUGUUUUCUUUUACUAUUGUCUGUUCUAUUGGAACAUAAUAAAUAAAUACUGACAUUUAAAAAUGGAAUGAUGAAGACUUAUUUAUCCUUCGAAAUAAUGGUACACAUUUUGAUGAAGUUGUGGAUUAUAAAAAGCUUAAUUACUCAUGGUAAUAUGGUUAAAAUAAUACAUGGUAAUUACCUCUUCUCUUCUAUGAGGUAUUAAUGUAGUACCUGGAAAAACCAGUGUGUAACGCUGCAAAUGAAGUAUCUACUGCCUAAAUAUUUCUAAAAACAAUUUAAUAGCAAAGUAACAACCAAACUGAAAUUUCACCAUUUCAACCACUGGCACGUCAAAAAUGUGAUUGA